rnacentral:sRNA from 1 species
CUGAUGGUCCUGAAGAUUGAAAUUCUCAGUUUAUCUACAGAACAGGUACAGUACAGCACAGGCAAAAAUCAUUCAAUAUACCCCAUCAUCCCUGACCAGGAACGACCACUUCUAAGAUAUGAAGAAGGCAAAAGUUUCAUUUCUAUUCAGUCCUUCCCUAUU